UCUCGAUUUGUCUAGUGUUUAGGAUACCUGCUUGUCAUCGUUUCUCUGGUCGACUGUAUAGUCUCCAGAAAGAUGAAGCCCGCAGGUAGCCGGGGUUCAAUUCCCCGAUCGAGAG